CAGGAAGUGACAUAUCAGGGCGACUCAUAUAUAAACAAGGGCAAGAAGGAAGUGGGCCCCUUCUCCUUUACUCCAGACUCACCAUGUGAUCCACCGGCAAGAGAGGGCACCAGGGAAGGCAUCCUCUAUAAGAUAAGUCUUAUAAAAUACAUAGAUUUAUGAUAAUUAAGACUGAGCUAACAGAUGAGAAAUCCUAGUCAUUGGCCAAGCAGCAUUUGUACCUAAUAGAAGUCUCUGUGUAUUAUUUGGGGCCCUAACUCGGCAGGCAGAACUCCGGCGGCUGGCAGAAAGCGCCCAUGUGGUGGUAGGACUCUGGUGGCUUUUGGCGGAAAGAUUUAUCGUAACAGAGGCUCUUGUCUCCCUCACUGGAAUUUAAAAGGGUUUCUCUGCAUAGCUCCAGCUGUCCUGGAACUAGCUCUGUAGACCAGGCUGGCCUCGAACUCAAAGAGGCCAGAAGAAGGCAUUGGGUCCCAGGAACUGGAAUUACAGAUGGUGCGAGCUGCUGUUGCUGUGUAGGUGCUGGGGCUCGAACCCUGGUCCUCUUUAAAGAAUCUGGCAGAGUGAAGUGGAAUGGGCCAAGGCUGUACACCCCCGAUGCCUGCUCUCAAUGACAUGCUUCCUCCAGCAAGGCUGUGUGUAUCCUGAUGGUUAGGAAGUACAUAACCUCCCCCACAGUGUCACCAGCUGGGGAAACAAAUGUUCAAAUACAUGAGCCUGUGGGGGACAUUUUCAUUCAAACCACCAUAAUCAGCUGCCUCUGUCUGUCUUGAUAUGUGUAUAUUGAAAGUUGCUUAUGUCAAAGGUGAAAGAGAGGUUUAGUAGAUGGAAAUAUUUAUUUAUGCAAAGCUCUGUUUACUUUUCAGUAUGGAUCUAAUUAGGGAAGCCAGUGCAAAGGUACCGUGUGGCAAUGCAUGUAUGUACCUGUGUUUGGUAGUGUGUGUGUGUGUGUGUGUGUGUGCGCGUGCACGCAUGAGCAUGUGUAAAUAGAGCUGAGUUAGCCAGGCGUUGGUGGCACACUCCUUUAAUCCCAGCGCUCGGGAGGCAUAGGCAGGCGGACCUCAGUGAGUUUAAGACCAGCCUGGUCUACAAGAGAAAGUUCCAGGACAGCCUCCAAAGCCACAGAGAAACCCUGACUCCAAAAACCAAAAGAAAAAAAAGCUGAGUCCAAGAGCCAAGAGAGGCACCCAGGAAAGCUGCAACUGUGCAGGGAGAAGAAAUACCUGAUUCUGGACUUGGAGGGGCUGAUAUUGCAUGGACUCUGUCUGAGUGAGGCCCCUAACCAUCUGUACUGCCCAUCUGAACAGGGCUCCUGAACCCCCUAUGAGAAUACUUCUUGAAGAAGUAAACGACCUUGUGUUUCUAGUGCUUUCUGUCAUCCUGUGUGUGUGUGUGUGUGUGUGUGUGUGUGUGUGUGUGUGUUGUGUUUUCUUGUGUUUGUAUAGGUGUGUGUAUGUGUGUGCAUAUGUGUUCAUGUGUGUCAAGGCCAGAGAGAUAACAUUAAGUAACUUCCCCUAUUGCUCUCUAUUUUAUUUAUUUUUUAAAGGUUUGUUCAUUUUUAUUCUAUGUGUAUGAGUGUUUUGCCUGCAUCUAUGUCUUUGCAUCACAUGUAUACUGAAGCCCAUGGAGGCCAGAGGAGGGCAUCAGAUCCCCUGGAACUGGAGUCACAGACAGUUGUGAGCUGCCAUGGGGGUGCUGGAUUCUUAAACUGGGUCCCCUGCAAGAGCUAAGUAAGUUCUCUUCACCCCCGAGCCAGCUCUCUAGCCCCCUUAUUUAUUUAUUAUUUAUAAGACAGGCCCUCACUGUGCAGUUUUUGUUGGCCUAGAACUUGCUGUACAGACCACUCUGGCCUUGAACACACUGAGAUCUGUCUCCGAAGCAGGGAUUAAAUGUGUGCCUCCCACCCAGCUCCACCUAAGCUGUUUGAGACAGGGUCUUUUGGUGAAUCUGGAGGUCAUCACCCUGGAGCUUGCUGGCUGGCCCCUGUCUCCACCUCUCUAGCCCUGGGGUUAUGGCUGUGUGCUGGCAACACUGGGCUUUCACAUGGGCAUCGGGGGUUAAAACCAGGUCCUGAUGAUUGUGCUGGAGCACUUUGUCCCAGAGACAUCUCCCCAGCCUCCCAUUAGCAGUCCCAACCCAAAGCUUAGUCCAUGGUACCCACUAGGCAGAUGGAGACAACUUUUGCCCCAGAUUGCCCAGUGCUACGGAGACAUUAGAUCUUUAGGAGUUACUUGUCCCCAUCCCUCCAUGGCAAUAGUACCGGGGCCCCGACUUUCCUCCCCCCAAUCCUUUCCGUGGCUUCUGGCUUCUGCCGUGAUGUCCCUUUGCCUAGGCUGGCUCCACCGGGAACCCGUUGACUGUGGAGGUGGUUCUGCAAACCCCAAACUAAGAGCCUGUUUUGACACGGCUGGGAGCAAAGCUGAGAGCAAGUCUCCAGAGCGGCAAUUGCUUCAUUCAGUUCUGGGAUGCCCCCCACACACCUAAAGUGAAGCGAUGAGCCCCUCCUCCCAGCUACCCAGCAAGCAGCCAUUUAUUCCCAAUUGCUCCCCACAGUAUAGGUCAAUUAGAGAGGAAGCCAGCAGGACUGGGGGCACGGGCAAUUCUUUUGAGGGCAGGAGACCCCUGGGCUGCCUAGUCACAGGCACCCCCUCCAUUCACAUGCUAUGUAGGAAUGCAAACUCCCAGAAAGGGAGUGGGGAUUCUGUCCAAUGCAGAGCCACGGAGUAAAUGGCCCUGGUCCUGGACACUUCCCAAGUGAGAUUUACAGUUCUGGCUCACUCUGCUCAGGCAGAAACAGCCACUUCAGCCAUAUCAGGAAUGGCCUCUUAUUGUUGACUUCCCUUUGGGGAUACGUUUUUCACAGCUAGCUAAUGCUUUUGUUUCAAGGUAGGAGGGGUUCUCAGUCUUUCCCUUCUGAAUUGUGGUUGGAUUUCUCUUUAAUCAUUUAUUUCCAAGUUCUUUUUGUAGGGCAUAUCACUGUAAUUAGCAGCCAAUGCUACAUUUCCACGGUUGCCUUACUUUCCAUGUGCUCCAUAGUCUCCAUGAAGUCCACCAUCCCAGCCGGGCCCAUCACGGUCUUCAUGCCUCUUAGAUAGAAGCCAUUUUGCACCCCACCCCAAUAAAUCUCUGGUAUAAGGUCCAUUUCAAGGUGUGAUUUUUUUUUUUUUUUUUGUGAUAUUCCUUAGCCUUCGAUCGUUGAGAUACUCUUGUUGCAAACCGUUUCAUUUUCUCUUGUGAUUUCAUAGUAUUUCGUUUCCUUUCCCCUUACAUUUUCAGAACACUGUUUCGGUCUUACCAGUGUUUUCUGGACCUUCCUGUCCAGCUGAAUUGCUCAGAACAAGCAAAUAGUUAGGUCGGAGCCACAUUCCAGGCCAUUUAAGUCAGAAUCUCCAGGGGCUGGGUCCUGCCUGGCCUGGGAAGAGAAACUUCCCUGACUAUUCUGAUGUGCUGAGAGAGAAGCAAGCUGAAUCCAACCCACGGAGGUUAGUUCAUGCAUGUGAGUCUCCAGGAGGGUUUGUCCCCCACAUGAGCUGUGGGUGUCAGCUUACAUUACCUUGGCUAUUUUCCUCUCUACAAAUGAUUUGUUUUCACUGAAAAAGUCUCAGAAAAUAUGGAGCCAGAAAAAUUAGUAACCAUUCUGAGGGGCAGUUUAACCCUUUGGUGUAUAUUUUAAUGAAUGUUUUAUUUUGUAUGUACAUAUGUUAAGAAUAUCUUUUAAAAAUUUUAAUUUUAUGUGUAUAAGUGUUUACCCAGAUAUAUGUAUAUAUACCACAUGAGUUCAGGAGCCGGAGGAGGCCAAUAGAGGGCAAUGAAUCCCCCAGAACUGGAGGUACAGGUAGUUGUAAGCCAUCAUGCAUGUCUGGGAACUGAACCCAGGUCCUCUUGGAGAACAAGAGCCCUUACCUGUUGAACCAUUGCUUCGGUUCCCUUUUGCUUAUUUAAACUUGUAAAAUAACGUAUUGAUUAUGUGUGGUGGGGGUGAGACAGGGGAGAGUGUAUGUGUUAUGUUGAACAUGUGGUCAGAGGAAUAAAUUGUGGAAGUCAGUUUUCUCCUUUGCCGCUAAUAUAGGACCCAGGAAUCAAAGUCAGGUCAUCAGGCUUGGUGGGAAAAUUCCUUUAUCUGCUGAGCUAUCUCACUAAUCUAUUUACAACUUAGUAUCUCUUCUAAUACCAUGAAUCCUUUUCUAUGUAAGUACACAUUGAAUGCAGUCAUUUUUUGUUGUUGUUCAUUUUUUAAUUAAUUUUUUACAUUUCAAUUCCAGUUCCCCUUCUUUGCCUCCCAAACCCUCCACCUCCCCUCCUCCCAUCUGCUCCAUGGAGAGAGUAAGGCCUCCCCUAGGAAGUCUACUAAGUCUGUCCCAUCAUCUAGUUGAGGCAGGACCAAGGCACCUCUCCACUCCCACACCCCUGUGUCUAGGCUGAGCAAGGUAUCUCUCCAUAUAGAAUGGGCUCCACUAAGUCAGUUUGUGCAUUAGAGUUAGAUCUUGGACCCACUGACAGUGGCCUCAUAUAUUGUCUCAGUCACACCAUUGCCACCUAUACUAAGGGAGUCUAGUUUGGUCUUAUGCAGGUUCCCCAUUUGUCAGACCUGACUCAGUAAUCUCUCGGUAGCUCAGAUCAGCUGAUUCUGUGGGGUUCCCUGUUGUUCCCUUUGUUCAUACUAUUGCUCCUCCCUCACCUUGAUUGUACUCCAGGAGCUUGGACCAUUGGUUAGUUGUAGAUUUCUGCAUCUGCUUCCAUCUGUUUCUGGAGGAGGGUUCUAGCUUCUCUGGGGUUAUGGAUUGUAGGCUGGGUAUCUUUUGCUUUAUGUCUGGUAUCCAUUUAUGUGUGAGUACAUACUAUAUUUGUCUUUCUGGUUUUGGGUUACCUCACUUAGGAUGUUUUUUUGUUUUUCUAAUUUUGUCCAUUUGCCUGAGAAUUUUAGAAUGUCAUUGUUUCUUACCAUUGUGUAAACAUAUGACAGUUUCUUUAUCCAUUCUUCAGUUAAGGGGCAUCUAGGCUGUUUCCAAGAUCUGGCUACUACAAAUAGUGUUGAUAUGAACAUUGCUGAGCAAAUGUCCUUGUGGUGUGAAUGUGCCUCCUUUGGGUAUAUGCCCCACAGUGGUAUUGCAGGGUCUUGAGGUAGGUUGAUUCCUACUUUUCUGAGAAAUCGCCAUACUGAUUUUCACAGUGGCUUUACAAGUUUGCAUUCCCACCAGCAAUGAAGGAGUGUUCCCCUUUCUCCACUUCCUCUCCAGCAUAAGCUGUCAUUGGUGUUUUUUUGUUUAGCCAUUCUGAUUGGUGUAAGAUAUGGUUUUGAUUUGCAUUUCCCUGAUGACUAAGGAUGUUGAGCAUUUUCUUAAGUGUCUUUCAAAUGCACUCAUCUUAACUGAUGACAUAGUCUAGUUCAGUCUUCCAACUAAUGGCUUUUGGCUACUCUUUUACCAGGGGACUGGCUUGAUCUUUGCUCUGGGUUCAAUUGCCAAGUCAUCUUCCAAUAUGCUUACAUAUCUCAAUUGAUUAGCUCAAAGGGUGCCUUUAAAGCUGGGCAUGGUGGUAUUAAAGCUGGGCAUGGUGGUAUUAAAGCUGGGCAUGGUGGUAUGUUCUUAUAAUCCAUAGUGAAUUUGAGGCCAUCCUGGGAUACAUGAGACCCUGUCUCAAAAAACCAAAACCAAAACCAAGAACAAAAUGAGUUAUUUCUCCCCUCUGACUGCUGAAGCCUAAUAUUCUACCAACACUUCUCUUCUAUGUUUGCUUUAUUUUUUGUUAAAAACACCUAUUUUCCCUUUAAUCCAAGAAUAACUAUUAUUCCAAUCUAUUUGCAAGAUUAGUUGGUUCAAGCUCCACAUUGCUCAAAAUCUAUCUACAUCUUUCUAUUGCCUGAUCAAAUUUCCUUCACCUUUCAUGUGAGGUACUUUUGACUCUAACACCUCUGGGUUUUUGGUUUGUUUUUUUUUUUUUUAAUUUCAGAAGGAUCUCCCUCAGGCGUAAGUCAAAUGAAAGUACUUCCAUAAGUCCUGUAAACCUUGUAGACUUUUUCCAUUCUCCACUCUACAUUGGUGAUACAAGUCCAGACCACGAGAAAGUCCUUCAAUUUAGGAGUCUUGUAUUUUUGUUUCAAGGAUUCCUUCUUGGGGAGAUGUGAACAAUCUCUACCCACCCUCUCAUGAGGUCUCAAAGACAGACAAAUCAAAGUGUGAUUCCACCAAAAUUCACUCUGAGAACCAGUAAGUUUACUGGCCUUACAAAGCAGCGGGGGCAGGGUUGCUGAUGGGAGCAUGGGUGAAUCUGAGGCAGCUGCACUUCUCCCAGAGUGGAUGAUGGCUUCCCCUUGGCUUCAUAGAUGGAGCACCACCCCCCACUCCCCCACCCCCUUCCAUUAACUUUCCUCAGCAUUUAUGCUGCAGCACCUCUGGAGACCCAGAGGCCAUAGUGCAAUCAGGGAAGAAUUAUAUACAAUUAUAGCUGGGGCAGGGGAGUGGCUGCAAACUCAGAUGAGGGUCCAGUGACCCUCUCUACCCUCUCAUUCUCUGAGGAAAGUCCACAGGCUCAUUUUGAAGGCUUCUUGCAAACAGGCACAACUGAUCUGAUGAAAAUGAUGGCUAUUUUGUUCAUUCUGCAGCAACUCUAUCAUGAAACAGUGGCAGAUUAAUUGGUUAGCUUGCAGGUAGGGUAAAAUCUCAGAGUGAGGUCCCAAUAAAAGGGUAUAUUCUAUUAUAUAAGCUUGCUACUAGGUAUAGUCUAUUGUGUUUCAUGAGUAUGAACUUGUCCAGGUUGCUCAUAGAACAAGCAGGUCUUACCACCCCCCCUUUACACUUACUUAUUUAGUGUAUAUGUAUGUGGACUUACAUGUGUGGGCUCAUGUGUAGUCAGAUGGCAACUUGCAGGAAUUGGUUCUGUCCUUAUACCAUGUGGGUUCUGGAGAUUGGAUUUAGGUCGUUAGGCUUGGUGGCAAGUUCCUUUAUUGGCUGAGCCGUGUCAUUAGCUCCAUGGUCUUUUAAUAUUAUAAAUUGUCAGCUGGGUGGUGGUAGGAUGUAGGACACUCCUUUAAUCCCAGCACUCAGGAGGCAGAGGCAGGCAGCUCUCUUAGUUCAAGGCCAACCUGAUCUACAGAGUAAAUUCCAGGACAGCCAGGGCUACACAGAGAAACCCUGUCUCGAAACUAGCUAACUAACUAACUAAGUAGUUUUGUUCUUAGUCACAGCAUUUAAUGAAUAUCUGUGGAAAGGUGGGACACACAAGGAAUAUAACUGAAAUGUGUAUACAAAGAUAUGUGGUAAUUCCUCAAAUUAGCUUUGAGAUGCUCUCUCUAGUUCUGAAAGUUACAUUUACCUGAUUAUGGGCUUCACAAGAGUCAACAUAUCUUUCUGAAGCAUCCAGUGCUAGAAAAAAGAUGUAGUACAAACCACUCUGAAUUACCUUCCUAUGUAAGAAUUUCUAGGAGUAAAAGCCAUAUACAUCUGUGCUAUCCUGUGUAUGGAGAAAUGCCUACAAAGAGCAUCUGGAAAGUUUCUUUCUAAUCUCAUCAUCUUUGCAAAAACUCCUGAUGGGUGAGUGUAGUGGUCCGUGUCACGCUUAGAAGACACUGUAUCGUUCUGGUUCUCACCUGUGCCCGGCCCUGACCUCUGGCUGUUACAGUCUAAAACUCCCUUUUGAAAAGAGAAAUCAGUAUCGUUUUUCUAAGAACGUGGGAGUCAUCCUUUUCUUCAUCCUGAAUCCUCAGCUGUGGGUUGCUCCCCUCUCCUGUACAAUUGAUCGGGUUUGUCUGCACUGCAAAUGUACUGAGGUUCAGGAGUAAGGUGAGGCCAAGGACAAGUGAGUGUGAGUCACCAGGCUGGGAAAAGGAAGCAAACUGGACUCUGCUCUUUCCACAAGGUAUCUCAAGGCCUGUGUGAAUGGAGAAAAGCGGAAACUCUCAGUAUGACUCAGCUGCAGCAGGCUUUGGGAGUGGACAUCAAAUGAUAACUACAAAAAAGCAAGAAACAAGCACAAAAGCCUAUCAGGAAACCCCCCAAAGAAGUGAAGUCUUGGGGGCUGGUGAGAUGUCUCAGCAGAAUGUGCACAGGAACCCUCUGUUGAAAACAGCAAAAUACCAGUACAAGAAAUCAGACCUAAACAAUGGAAAGUGAAGAAAUCAGACCUAAACAAUGGAAAGUGAAGAAAUCAGACCUAAACAAUGGAAAGUGAAGAAAUCAGAUCUAAACAAUGGAAAGUCAAGCUGCACAAAAUACCCAGGGUCAGUGGCUAUUUUUAGCCAUUGUUCUCCCCAGUGGGGUUAUCCUCAGAGAAUCCUUACUGCCCGGGCUCCCCUUUCAUAAGUUUCUCCGGGGUAUCUGCAUCUCCUCCCCCUGCCUCCCCCUUUCAGUUUGAGGAGAACAGUCCAUCGUCAUAUGACAACAGGAACAUGAGGCAACUGGUGACAGUGGCCUCCGCCCCUGCCCCAUGGCCUCCACUCCUGGCUGUGACCGGCAGACAGAGCUUUAUAGAAAGGUCUCAUGGAAGCAGAUGCUGAAUGCUCAGCCCGCAUCCCCUCAAGACCGGAGAGGGUGAGUGUGCAGCCUCAUCUCCUUGCCUGUGUCCACGACACACUGUUCCAAAUACGGAAAUACAAGUCUUCCAGGGAGAGCUGAUCUUCUAAGCUGACUUUCUAGAAAUGGGAAGAAUUUACUCCGUUUGUCAC
rnacentral:lncRNA from 1 species